rnacentral:rRNA from 1 species
UUUCGGUUCUAUUUUGUUGGUUUUCAGGAUCGAAAUAAUGAUUAAUAGGGAUAGUUGGGGGCAUUAAUAUUUAAUUGUCAGAGGUGAAAUUCUUGGAUUUAUGAAAGAUUAACUUCUGCGAAAGCAUUUGCCAAGGAUGUUUUCAUUAAUCAAGAACGAAAGUUAGGGGAUCGAAGACGAUCAGAUACCGUCGUAGUCUUAACCAUAAACUAUGCCGACUAGGGAUUGGCGGAUGUUAUUUGAUGACGCCGUCAGCACCUUACGAGAAAUCAAAGUUUUUGGGUUCCGGGGGGAGUAUGGUCGCAAGGCUGAAACUUAAAGGAAUUGACGGAAGGGCACCACCAGGAGUGGAGCCUGCGGCUUAAUUUGACUCAACACGGGGAAACUCAC